rnacentral:rRNA from 1 species
GACGAACGCUGGCGGCGUGCUUAACACAUGCAAGUCGAACGGAAAGGCCCUGCUUUUGUGGGGUGCUCGAGUGGCGAACGGGUGAGUAACACGUGAGUAACCUGCCCUUGACUUUGGGAUAACUUCAGGAAACUGGGGCUAAUACCGGAUAGGAGCUCCUGCUGCAUGGUGGGGGUUGGAAAGUUUCGGCGGUUGGGGAUGGACUCGCGGCUUAUCAGCUUGUUGGUGGGGUAGUGGCUUACCAAGGCUUUGACGGGUAGCCGGCCUGAGAGGGUGACCGGCCACAUUGGGACUGAGAUACGGCCCAGACUCCUACGGGAGGCAGCAGUGGGGAAUAUUGCACAAUGGGCGGAAGCCUGAUGCAGCAACGCCGCGUGCGGGAUGACGGCCUUCGGGUUGUAAACCGCUUUCGCCUGUGACGAAGCGUGAGUGACGGUAAUGGGUAAAGAAGCACCGGCUAACUACGUGCCAGCAGCCGCGGUGAUACGUAGGGUGCGAGCGUUGUCCGGAUUUAUUGGGCGUAAAGGGCUCGUAGGUGGUUGAUCGCGUCGGAAGUGUAAUCUUGGGGCUUAACCCUGAGCGUGCUUUCGAUACGGGUUGACUUGAGGGAGGUAGGGGAGAAUGGAAUUCCUGGUGGAGCGGUGGAAUGCGCAGAUAUCAGGAGGAACACCAGUGGCGAAGGCGGUUCUCUGGGCCUUUCCUGACGCUGAGGAGCGAAAGCGUGGGGAGCGAACAGGCUUAGAUACCCUGGUAGUCCACGCUGUAAACGGUGGGUACUAGGUGUGGGGUCCAUUCCACGGGUUCCGUGCCGUAGCUAACGCUUUAAGUACCCCGCCUGGGGAGUACGGCCGCAAGGCUAAAACUCAAAGGAAUUGACGGGGCCCCGCACAAGCGGCGGAGCAUGCGGAUUAAUUCGAUGCAACGCGUAGAACCUUACCUGGGUUUGACAUGGAUCGGGAGUGCUCAGAGACGGGUGUGCCUCUUUUGGGGUCGGUUCACAGGUGGUGCAUGGCUGUCGUCAGCUCGUGUCGUGAGAUGUUGGGUUAAGUCCCGCAACGAGCGCAACCCUUGUUCACUGUUGCCAGCACGUUAUGGUGGGGACUCAGUGGAGACCGCCGGGGUCAACUCGGAGGAAGGUGGGGAUGACGUCAAGUCAUCAUGCCCCUUAUGUCCAGGGCUUCACGCAUGCUACAAUGGCUGGUACAGAGAGUGGCGAGCCUGUGAGGGUGAGCGAAUCUCGGAAAGCCGGUCUCAGUUCGGAUUGGGGUCUGCAACUCGACCUCAUGAAGUCGGAGUCGCUAGUAAUCGCAGAUCAGCAACGCUGCGGUGAAUACGUUCCCGGGGCU